rnacentral:rRNA from 1 species
UUNCACGUGUAGCAGUGAAAUGCGUAGAGAUGUGGAGGAACACCGAUGGCGGAGGCAGCCUCCUGGGAUAACACUGACGUUCAUGCCCGAAAGCGUGGGUAGCAAACAGGAUUAGAUACCCUGGUAGUCCACGCCCUAAACGAUGUCGAUUAGCUGUUGGGCAGCAUGACUGCUUAGUAGCGAAGCUAACGCGUGAAAUCGACCGCCUGGGGAGUACGGUCGCAAGAUUAAAACUCAAAGGAAUUGACGGGGACCCGCACAAGCGGUGGAUGAUGUGGAUUAAUUCGAUGCAACGCGAAGAACCUUACCUGGUCUUGACAUGUACGGAAUCCUUCAGAGACGGAGGGGUGCCUUCGGGAGCCGUAACACAGGUGCUGCAUGGCUGUCGUCAGCUCGUGUCGUGAGAUGUUGGGUUAAGUCCCGCAACGAGCGCAACCCUUGUCAUUAGUUGCCAUCAUUAAGUUGGGCACUCUAAUGAGACUGCCGGUGACAAGCCGGAGGAAGGUGGGGAUGACGUCAAGUCCUCAUGGCCCUUAUGACCAGGGCUUCACACGUCAUACAAUGGUCGGUACAGAGGGUAGCCAAGCCGCGAGGCGGAGCCAAUCUCACAAAACCGAUCGUAGUCCGGAUUGCACUCUGCAACUCGAGUGCAUGAAGUCGGAAUCGCUAGUAAUCGCAGGUCAGCAUACUGCGGUGAAUACGUUCCCGGGUCUUGUACACACCGCCCGUCACACCAUGGGAGUGGGGGAUACCAGAAGUA